rnacentral:ncRNA from 1 species
UUACAUAUGGGGCAAACUACCUGAAAGGGUAGGACGCAAAGCUAGAGGGGCUAAAUCUUCCAUGAGGAGAUAUGCCAGCCAGCUGCAGCU